UAACUGAAGAGUUUGAUCAUGGCUCAGAUUGAACGCUGGCGGCAGGCUUAACACAUGCAAGUCGAGCGGGGGAAGGUAGCUUGCUACUGGACCUAGCGGCGGACGGGUGAGUAAUGCUUAGGAAUCUGCCUAUUAGUGGGGGACAACAUCUCGAAAGGGAUGCUAAUACC
rnacentral:rRNA from 1 species